AGAGUUUGAUCCUGGCUCAGAAUGUACGCUGGCGGCACGCCUAACACAUGCAAGUCGAGCGAGGUACUUGUACCUAGCGGCAGACGGGUGCGUAACAUGUGGGAAUCUGCCUUUUGGUUCGGAACAACACGGGGAAACUUGUGCUAAUACCGGAUAAGUCCUAACGGAGAAAGAUUUAUCGCCGAGAGAUGAGCCCGCACUAGAUUAGCUUGUUGGUAAGGUAAAAGCUUACCAAGGCUACGAUCUAUAGCUGAUUUGAGAGGAUGAUCAGCCACACUGGGACUGAGACACGGCCCAGACUCCUACGGGAGGCAGCAGUGGGGAGUCUUGCACAAUGGAGGAAACUCUGAUGCAGCGAUGCCGCGUGAGUGAAGAAGGCCCUUGGGUUGUAAAGCUCUUUUGUCGGGAAAGAUAAUGACUGUACCCGAAGAAUAAGGUCCGGCUAACUUCGUGCCAGCAGCCGCGGUAAUA
rnacentral:rRNA from 1 species